ACGACGUCGUGCGGCGUGCAGACGUCAGCAAGCUGCGCCGCGCCGCGCCUUCGGGUUGCUUUUGGACCUGGUACUUGGGCAGAGCUACUCGGGAUUUAUUGUCUUCGCUUUGCUUCACAGGGUCUGUUUGAGUCAUGUCCACCGGACCCUACCCGGGGUACCUUUGAAAACAAACGGGCUAUGUUGCUGUUGCUUGUCAGUACCCUCUCCUGACGCCUCCGUCGCCCGGGUCAUGUGGACCCUCGUGGGCCGGGGCUGGGGGUGCGCACGCACUCGCGCGCGGUGGGCCACUGGGGCCGCGCUUGGGCCCGCGCCAACCUUUGGGGCUGCUCCAGAGUCCUGGCCUACCUGCAGGCUCUACAGCUCCGCGGAAUUCAAGGAAAAACUUGACAUGUCUAGGUUUCCUGUUGAAAAUAUUAGAAAUUUCAGUAUCGUUGCACAUGUGGAUCAUGGCAAAAGUACUUUAGCUGACAGGCUCCUAGAACUUACAGGGGCAAUUGAUAAAACAAAGAAUAAUAAGCAGGUUCUUGAUAAAUUGCAAGUGGAACGAGAAAGAGGAAUCACUGUUAAAGCACAGACAGCAUCUCUUUUUCACAAUUGUGAAGGAAGGCAGUACCUUUUAAAUCUCAUUGAUACACCGGGCCAUGUUGAUUUUAGUUAUGAAGUAUCCAGGUCACUUUCUGCUUGCCAGGGUGUUUUACUUGUGGUUGAUGCAAAUGAGGGUAUUCAAGCCCAAACUGUAGCAAACUUCUUUCUUGCCUUUGAAGCACAGCUAUCGGUAAUUCCAGUUAUAAAUAAGAUAGAUCUGAAGAAUGCUGAUCCUGAAAGGGUUGAAAACCAAAUUGAGAAAGUGUUUGAUAUUCCAAGUGAUGAAUGUAUUAAGAUUUCUGCUAAACUUGGAACAAAUGUUGAGAGUGUUAUUCAGGCAGUUAUUGAAAGAAUCCCCCCUCCUAAAGUGCAUCGCAAAAAUCCCCUGAGAGCUUUGGUAUUUGACUCCACCUUUGACCAGUAUAGAGGUGUGAUAGCCAAUGUAGCAUUAUUUGAUGGAGUGGUUUCCAAAGGAGAUAAAAUUGUAUCUGCACAUACUCAAAAGACAUACGAAGUUAAUGAAGUAGGAGUUUUGAAUCCUAAUGAGCAACCAACUCAUAAAUUAUAUGCAGGACAGGUGGGCUAUCUGAUUGCUGGGAUGAAAAAUGUCACUGAAGCGCAAAUAGGAGAUACAUUAUAUUUACAUAAGCAACCAGUGGAGCCCUUGCCUGGGUUUAAAUCAGCGAAACCAAUGGUAUUUGCAGGAAUGUAUCCUGUAGACCAGUCUGAAUAUAACAACCUGAAGAGUGCUAUAGAAAAACUAACUUUAAAUGAUUCCAGUGUGACAGUUCAUCGGGAUAGUAGCCUUGCUCUGGGUGCUGGCUGGAGGCUAGGAUUUCUUGGACUUUUGCACAUGGAAGUUUUCAACCAGCGACUGGAGCUAGAAUAUAACGCUUCUGUUAUUUUAACAACCCCUACUGUUCCAUAUAAAGCUGUACUUUCAUCAUCAAAAUUGAUAAAGGAAUAUAGAGAAAAAGAAAUUACAAUUAUCAAUCCUGCACAAUUCCCCGAUAAAUCAAAAGUAACAGAAUAUUUGGAGCCAGUUGUUUUGGGCACUAUUAUCACACCAGAUGAAUACACUGGAAAAAUAAUGAUGCUUUGCGAGGCUCGAAGAGCAGUUCAGAAGAAUAUGAUAUUUAUUGAUCAAAAUAGAGUUAUGCUUAAAUAUCUCUUUCCUUUGAAUGAAAUUGUGGUAGAUUUUUAUGACUCUUUGAAAUCCCUAUCUUCUGGAUAUGCUAGUUUUGAUUACGAAGAUGCAGGCUACCAGACUGCAGAACUUGUGAAAAUGGAUAUUCUACUGAAUGGAAAUAAUGUAGAGGAGCUAGUAACUGUUGUACACAAAGACAAAGCACACUUAAUUGGCAAAGCCAUAUGUGAACGGCUGAAGGAUUCUCUUCCUAGGCAACUGUUUGAGAUAGCAAUUCAAGCUGCUAUUGGAAGUAAAAUCAUUGCAAGAGAAACUGUGAAAGCCUAUAGGAAAAAUGUUUUGGCAAAAUGUUAUGGUGGUGAUAUUACCCGAAAAAUGAAGCUUUUGAAGAGACAAGCAGAAGGGAAAAAAAAGCUGAGGAAAAUUGGCAACGUUGAAGUUCCAAAAGAUGCUUUUAUAAAAGUGCUGAAAACACAAUCUUCUAAAUAAUUGGUGGGAAAACAAAGAAUUUUCAUAAAUUAAAAACUAUCUGCUUUUCAUUUCAAUUUGUAAUAUGCUGACAACAGAAUGAUAAUUAUAAAAUUUGCUUGUUACUUUCAGGGUAUUCAGGUUCAAAUAACCUAAGCCUUUCGUUGAAAGGGAGUAAUGAGUGGGUAGGUUAAGAGCGUAGAUUUUGAAGCCAUGUUGCCUGUUCUCAAAUACCUGUUCCAACCACUCACUAGUAAGGUGACCUUUGCUAAAUUAACCUUUGUUUCCUCUUGAGUAAAACAGAGAUUAUAUACUACCUACAUAAGUUGUUGUGAAGAUUAAAAGAGGUAAUACAUUAAAUAUUCAGAGGUGUAGGCACUCAGUUGUUAAGUCCUUAAUGCAGUUACGUCCUUAAAUGCAUUGUAAGGUCCUUAGAAACUGACUUUAAGCAAAAUGUCACGUAGCAGGUCCUUGAAUGAUGACAUUUCCUUCUAAGUGGUUUAUAACAUUGAUGAGGAAAAAAAAUUAGUUUAUGAUCAUUUCAUUAUUAUUUAUUUAUUUAUUUUUUGAGACAGAGUCUUGCCCUGUCACCUAGGCUGGAGUGUAGUGGCACAAUCUCGGCUCACUGCAAUCUCUACCUCCCGGGUUCAAGAGAUUCUCCUGCCUCAGCCUCCAUUACAGGUGCGCGCCACCAUGCUUGGCUAAUUUUUUGUAUCUUUAGUAGAGAUGGAGUUUCACCAUGUUGACCAGGGUGGUCUCGAACUCCUGACCUCGUGAUCCACCCGCUGUGGCCUUCCAAAGUGCCGAGAUUACAGGCGUGAGUCACCAUGCCCAGCCGUGUCAUUUCAUUUAAAGUCACAAUUUCCAUGAAUCUCAACAAGUGAGGACCUGCUAUAUUUUGUUGCGUGCAGUUUUUCCUUACUGACACUAAAAGGCUGCAUACUUAAGAUUCCAUCUACUUUAAGUUAAAGGAUUUUCAGAAUCACCUUAAGUGUCAAAUUUGUUAGCAGGAUUAAUUUAUCUGAUAUGAAUUCACUUAUUAAACAGAACUCAAAUAACAUACUAACUAGACAUCUGCUCUAGUUCAUGAUAAAAUGUUUAUAGAUUUUAUCAGGUUGUUUGAAACUAAAUGGUUUACAUUUAAAUUAAGGGCAGGAGCUCUCUUUCAGACAUUCAAAACACAUUUGUGUAAAAUGACAGGUGUUUGGUGUUACCAGGAACUCUUAAUGACAUUUUAAUAAUUAUUGUCUAAAUUUCAUAAUUGAAGCGAUUUUAGAGUAGUUAACUUGAGAUUUCAGAGCCACUAAAUGGCUGUAUUUCUCCAAAGCUCUCAGCUGCCAUGUUUAUUCAGCCAAUGAACAAACCAGACUGCAGACUAUAUUAUAGCAAGAUAACAUUAUUUAGCCAUUGAUUUUUAUCUUCUACCUUGCUUGAAUGAACUGAAUGAAGAAAAUGCCUUUUAGGGAUAAACACUGUCAAGGAUGAAUUUUAUACUAAGGUUAUGUGAAAGAAAAAAAUCUCAAAACCACUAAGCCAGAGGGAAGUCAAGCUGGGAACUGAUUGAGGCAAACCUGCCUCCCAUUUUAUUCCUAAAUGAAGACAGUCACAAAGAUAAAAUUUGCUGAAAAGGAAAUUCCUUAUGGACAAAGACAGAACUCAAAAAGUCUUCCUUCUGCUCACAUGAAACAAAUGCAUACGUGGUUGCUUCCUGUGCCCCGUGUUUCACUAAGCCAGAUUAAGGUUCUGACAAAACAGUUGAAAUAUGAAAGACCAUGACAGCAGUAUUUUGAAAAUGACAGUAUUUGAAACUAAAAAAUUGUAAAACAGAGUGUUCUAUCACUGCCAAGGGAUAAGUUACAAAUUGGUUCUUGCAACAUAAUAUGUACGAUGUGCUUGCUAUUUAAUAAUUUACCAAUAUUAGCCUUUUUUAGUCAGACUAAUUUUUUUUUUAACCUAUGACUCUUUAGGAAAUAGUUUUAGUUAUAAUAGUACAAAAAAGCAUUUUCCGUAAGCUUAAUUUCUUUCCCCGUCCCACUUUCUCAGUCAGAUGACUUUAGUGACUUGGAGUUGUGUGCUUUAUAAGUGUAUUCCUCAGAGGACCUAACAUUAUUAAGAUUUUAGCAGUCAUUAAAAUAUGUUUAAACACUGUUGUCAAUAUUAAAAUAGCACCAUUUAUUGAAUUUAAUAUGUGACAACCACUAUGCUGACCUAUGUAUGCUUCCCUCAUUCAAUCUAUUUAAAAAUUUUGGGGAAGAAGCAGAGUUUAUUUUCCAAAGUCACCAUUGUUGACAGAGCUGGGAUUCAGUGGUUUCCUUCCUCAAAAAGCUAAGUUCUUUGCCUAACAGCAGCUUAGCUCCUGAGUUAGGGAAUGAAAGCAGGAAUGAAAGUGGCCAGAGUUUCCGCUACUCAGCUUGUGGAGGAGCUUGAGUACAUCAAUCUCAAGUAAGCCCCUAACAUCAAAGUCAGGAAAGGAGAAUUUUUAGAACUUUAAAGCACAGAAAUAACUGGUGAAUCAUGUACCACAACAGAUACCUUUAGCUUUUUCACUGUGAUGCUGUAUGACUUUCUAAGGUAGUCAGCAUGGUUUGUAGUAAAUGAUUCUUAUUACUGGAAGUGUAUGUGGAAUGUUACUGACUCAUUAGUUACUUAAAAAAAUAAGGCUAUUAAAACAUCUGGAAUUAAAGCAGCAAAUUUACCCCAUUCCCCACUUUUAACCAUAAAAUCCUAUUACCAAUUUUAUUUCAUUAAUUUAUUUGCUCUUUUAAUAUUUUAAGAAGCUAAAUACAUUUUAAUCACAUAGACAAGCACGUAAGUAAGGCUUCUUCUACCAGGUGGGCUUAUGAAAUGCAAAAUAAGCAAAAGGAGCAUUUUUUUUGCUCCCCACAGAGGCAGAGACAUCUUUUAACCUAACUCCUGAUGCAUGAUGGCAACAAACGCAAAAUAAAUGCAGGUUCACAUGUACUAUAAUUGUUGAGAGUUGAAUGCAUGUAUUCAGUUUCACUUCUGGAAAUAAAAUUUAGAUAACUUAUUUAUUACACGCUUUAUUUGAGUUAAAGAUAGAAAACAAUAUACUUUUAUGUAAAUUGCGAUGGCAA